rnacentral:rRNA from 1 species
UACGGAGGGUGCAAGCGUUGUCCGGAAUCACUGGGCGUAAAGGGCGCGUAGGCGGCUCGGUAAGUAGGGGGUGAAAUCCUGCGGCUUAACCGCAGGGCUGCCUUCUAAACUGUCAGGCUAGAGCACGGUAGAGGCAGAUGGAAUUCCCGGUGUAGCGGUGGAAUGCGUAGAGAUCGGGAAGAACAUCAGUGGCGAAGGCGGUCUGCUGGGCCGUUGCUGACGCUGAGGCGCGACAGCGUGGGGAGCAAACAGG